GACCCCCUUCAUGCUUUCAUACCUCCUGAAGAGGUCGGCGAAGGAGCGUUCCACAGAGUUGAGGUCGGCCAGGGCCUGGUCCCGCUCCAAGGUGAGCUGCCGGACUGACUUACUGCAGGACAGUGUCUUCUGCUGCUCUUCAUCCUCUGGUGGGAGGGGACAAUGUUGGUGAGAGACACACAUAAUCAUGCAAUAAUAAUGUUUCACCAGCAGGUGGCGGUCACCGACCAAUCAUCUGUGCAACUGUCUUCUCAUACUCUGCAACGAUGCUCCUGCCAACACAAAUACUAAGACUUCAGUUUGACAAACAGUCCUGGUCAAAAGUGGACAUACACUUGUAAAGAACAUCAUGUCAUGGCUGGUUUCAGUUUCCAAUACUUUCGACAACUCUUAUUUUUUUUUUGUGAUACAGUGAUUGGAGCAAGGGCUUCACGGUGGCAGAGGGGUUAGUGCGUCUGCCUCACAAUACGAAGGUCCUGCAGUCUUGGGUUCAAUCCCAGGCUCAGGAUCUUUCUGUGUGGAGUUUGCAUGUUCUCCCCGUGACUGCGUGGGUUCCCUCCGGGUACUCCGGCUUCCUCCCACUUCCAAAGACAUGCACCUAGGGAUAGGCCCCUCCCUUCUCCAAAGACAUGCACCUGGGGAUAGGCCCCUCCCACCUCCAAAGACAUGCACCUGGGGAUAGGCCCCUCCCACCUCCAAAGACAUGCACCUGGGGUUAGGCCCCUCCCUUCUCCAAAGACAUGCACCUGGAGAUAGGCCCCUCCCUUCUCCAAAGACAUGCACCUGGGGAUAGGCCCCUCCCUUCUCCAAAGACAUGCACUUGGGGAUAGGCCCCUCCCACCUCCAAAGGACUCCUGUGGAGUCCUUUGCCAUGGGCAGGGCGGACCCUAAUAAUAAAACGUUACAGUUUCAAUAGGGUCCUUGGCCCAGGAGUCCUUUGCCAUAGGCAGGGCGGACCCUAAUAAUAAAACGUUACAGUUUCAAUAGAGUCCUUGGCCCAGGAGUCCUUUGCCAUGGGCAGGGCGGACCCUAAUUAUAAAACGUUACAGUUUCAAUAGGGUCCUUGGCCCAUUGCAAAAUGACUCCUGUGGAGUCCUUUUGCAAUGGGCCUGCGGACCCCCACAGGAGUCCUUUUGCAAUGGGCCUGCGGACCCUAAUUAAACAAACAGAACAUGAUCACAAAGACAAGACAAACAAAUGAAUAAAAGAAGCAAACUUCAUGAAUGUUUUUAGUGACCAACAAGUAUGUGCUGCAAUUACUUCAUCACAAAAAAAUAAGAGUUGUACAAAUGAGUGAAAACUCAAGACAGCCAUGACGUGAUGUUCUUUACAAUUGUACGUAAACUUUUGCCCACCGGUCUACAUCACCAGAUCUUUGCUUCCCACCUCAUCUCCAGAACCUCAGCUCGGCUCUGCUCGUACUUUGUCUUCCACUCGUCGACCUCCACCUCUUUAGCGAUGAUCUGAGGAUGAGAAGAAAGGGCACGAAGAUGGGAGACCGGGCUGGAAAGGGAUGAUAUGUUUGUGGAUAUUUCCUCCAGAGGGAGUCGCCUACCUCAUCUCUGAUGAGAGCGAGCACUGCAGCUUUGUCCAUCUCGCUCUGGGGGACUUUGUCUGCAGACACAACCUCUGUGUCGAUGGCACUGGUCACAUCCUCGCAUGUCUCACACUGUGGAACGUCCAAAAACACGGGAGCAGUGAGCAGCAGCGGUGGCCACGCCCAGGAAUUAUUGCUUGGAAUAUAACCCCCAAUUCCAACCCUUGAUGCUGAGUGCCAAGCAGGGAGGGGAGCAGUGAGCAGCAGCGGUGGCCACGCCCAGGAAUGAUUGUUUGGAAUAUAACCCCCAAUUCCAACCCUUGAUGCUGAGUGCCAAGCAGGGAGGUAAUGGCUCCCAUUUUUAUAGUCUUUGGUAUGACUCGGCCGGGGUUUGAACUUGCAACACUUUAGGCCACCGAGUAGGCCUGCUGCCAAGCAAGCAGUCGUUAUUUUUUGCCAGAUUCUCUUAUAUGAGCAUGCUAACGUUUGACACUUGCGUUUUUUUUUAAUGAUUUUUUUUAUUUUUUAUUGUAAUUUUAAUUUUAAAUAAUUAAAUGUCUAAAUUAUGAUAAAUGUCUAAAUUAUGAUAAUGGUGAUUUUUUU